GGGGCUGUAGCUCAGUUGGGAGAGCGCCUGGUUUGCAACCAGGAGGUCGUCGGUUCGAUCCCGAUCAGCUCCACCA
rnacentral:tRNA from 1 species